CAGCGGUAGUUCAGUCGGUUAGAAUACCGGCCUGUCACGCCGGGGGUCGCGGGUUCGAGUCCCGUCCGCUGCGCCAU
rnacentral:tRNA from 3 species